CCGCAUGCUUAGAGCAGAUCGAAACAAAGAUGAAGUUGAUGUGGAAAUGAAACGGGCUCAACAGCAACAAGAAAAGGGCGGUAGCUGGGGCCACGAGCAGCGCCGAAUCGCAGGGCGAAAUGAGGUCAAUUGUGGCGACGCUCAUCCUCGCUGCCGUCGCCCUAAGGACCGCCGGCCAACAACGCGAGGAAGAACUGCCCUUCGACGACCUCAUGGCCACCAUCUGCCGUAAAUAUGAAAAUGCCGCCGACAGAAAGGAUGCUAUCAUGUGCGUUGGCGACCGAAUGGAAAUUGAACUGGAAGCCAU